CAGUCGAACGGACUCAUAUUGAAACCUAGUGAUUUAUGAGUUAGUGGCGGACGGGUGAGUAACGCGUGGAUAACCUGCCGUAUACCGGGGGAUAACACUUAGAAAUAGGUGCUAAUACCGCAUAAGCGCACGGCUCCGCAUGGGGCAGUGUGAAAAACUCCGGUGGUAUACGAUGGAUCCGCGUCUGAUUAGCUAGUUGGCGGGGUAACGGCCCACCAAGGCAGCGAUCAGUAGCCGGCCUGAGAGGGUGGACGGCCACAUUGGGACUGAGACACGGCCCAAACUCCUACGGGAGGCAGCAGUGGGGAAUAUUGCACAAUGGGGGGAACCCUGAUGCAGCGACGCCGCGUGAGCGAAGAAGUAUCUCGGUAUGUAAAGCUCUAUCAGCAGGGAAGAAAAAUGACGGUACCUGACUAAGAAGCCCCGGCUAACUACGUGCCAGCAGCCGCGGUAAUACGUAGGGGGCAAGCGUUAUCCGGAUUUACUGGGUGUAAAGGGAGCGCAGGCGGCGCGGCAAGUCUGAUGUGAAAGCCCGGGGCUCAACCCCGGGACUGCAUUGGAAACUGUCGCGCUCGAGUGUCGGAGAGGUAAGUGGAAUUCCUAGUGUAGCGGUGAAAUGCGUAGAUAUUAGGAGGAACACCGGUGGCGAAGGCGGCUUACUGGACUGUAACUGACGUUGAGGCUCGAAAGCGUGGGGAGCAAACAGGAUUAGAUACCCUGGUAGUCCACGCCGUANACGAUGAUUACUAGGUGUCGGGGGNUCAAGGUCCUCCGGUGCCGGCGCAAACGCAUUAAGUAAUCCACCUGGGGAGUACGUUCGCA
rnacentral:rRNA from 1 species